UUCGUCCCUUUCCUCCGUAAGUAUAUAGUUCACUUGUCACAUUUAUAUAUGAAUUACAAACUUAAGCUACAGUUUGUGUUUUAUAUAGUUUCGUGUUAUUUGAUGAUAUUCAAGAUUUCAAUAACUUACCACACGUAAAGAGUAUCUUUGCGAGGGUAGUUGUUAAGUUUCCUAGGCGUCAUGAUAGUCAACACUUCAUCCUACAGGAUAUCACAGGAUCCAAAAUGGAAGCAAUUUCAAGUCGCAAUAAUGUUCCACGUUUCGAUGCCUUACUCACACAAGGAUGCACAUAUACAUUGUAUAGAGUGGGAUUCUGUCUAAAUAGGGAGGGGAUUCAAUUUCGGAAUAUUGGACAUGGGCUAGAGAUCGGACUGAUAACACAUACUAUUGUGGAGCCAUUCAUUAAGCCAAUCCAAUUUCCUCCAUUUCCAAAGUAUCUUAUGCCAUUCCAUAAGGUGUAUCAACAACCGCAUAAGUCGUUCGUAGACAUUAUUGGCAUAGUUCUUCAUUUAGAGCCAUUAAAGCAUAUCGGUGGAAGGCCGUAUAGAGAGGCUGUACUAAUGGAUUCCAGGUGGGAUCUAAUCGUCGUGGGGGUAUGGACUGACCUCUUGCAAAGAAAUGCUCUACGAUGGUCGUUAGCUAGAGUUGACAAUAACAUCAUUAUUGGAACUAUGUUGCGUCGUAACAAUAAACAUAGUAAUUUCUCUUGUACCUAAAUUCUUUCAACUUGAACUCAAUUCUUAUGCUUAUUUAUUAUCCUAACAAUAGGAUGCUUGGAAACCUCGGAUUACAGCACCGUUCAUUUCAACCCAGAUCAUCACACUACAUACCACUUGAAGACUAUUCGACGUUCGUUGAUUCAAAAUCCAAGGCGUCGUAUCGUCGACAAAUUUCUUGAGAACAGACGGGCACAUCUCACAACUGUGAUAUCUGAUUGAGACGUAUUCUAGCUUGUUAUAGUAGAUACUUUGUUAGUUAUGAUUUAGAUGAAACUUAGUAGUAAUGAUUUGUUCUCUAUUUUGUAUUAGUCGUGUGUUCGGUCUCAAUGUUGAUCACUUUGUAUAAAACUAUGUGACCUUUCUAUGAGCUAAUAAAUAAGUUCACCAUCAUUAUUCUUCA